UAGGGGUGAUGGGAAGGUUCCUCAUCUCCCUCCCACACUUCUUCGUGGGGGAAAGUUAAAGGGGAAAGGAAAAAGCAUCUCGGACUAUUUUGUUCCACUGGCUCUCAGAAUGGGCUGCUUGUUUGUUCUUGGAAGGCUUCCAGAUAGGGCUUUUUUUUUUUUUCUUUCCUCCUUUUCCUUCAGAAAUUAAAUACUUCUUAAAAAAAUCCCUAAACCUUCAUGAUUCUUCCCACCUGCCUGCUGCAGGAUGGGUGUGGGCAAUGGGUGUGCACACACAGGGGUAGAGAGGGUGGAAAACCUGGUGAGGAUAGAAAGGAUGGAAAAUUCAGGAAAUCCCCUGGAGCUGCAGGGUGUUAGGUUGAUCUGUGUGUGUGAAGGGGCUGUGCUGGGCACAGCACGCAAGAAGCCAGGUGAUAACACGGGAUCACAGGGCUGGGGCAGGAACAAUUUGCUGUGAACAGGUUUUGAAAAGCCCCUCUCCAGACAUUCCAGGUGAGGCUGGAAUGAGCAUUGUGUCUGCAAACCAUCUGCAAGGGUAUCUGUGGUAUCAGUUUCCUGUUGGAAAAAGGGGCAUGCUGAUGCCUUUGUGUAUUCUACCUCUGGCAGGUUUUUCCUUUCCUGGCUCCGAACCUGGCAGAGGAGGGGAGGUGAGGUGGCUGCACUGCCUUCCAUAUCUGGAGCAGGGUGGGCUCUUCCAUAUCCCUCACUUGCCCUCAGUGCUUGGCUGCUCCAGUUAAUGAGCCUCAGAUGGUGCUGCAGAUACUUCAUUUACACCCUCAGUCUUAAUGGUGUGUGUGUAAGUGAGACAUUCCCCUCUUUGACAUCAUUCCCUUCCUACUAAUUAGGUAUUAAAGUAUAAUCAUGGUAGCAGGAAAGCAGCCUUAAUGCACCCUGGGUAAAGCUAAUGAUGUGGACACACGGCAUUUGUCAGGGAUUCUUAUUCCAGGCCUCUUGUUUGUGAUUUUAGGAAUUUUUGAGCCGGCGUGGACUUGGCAAAUGUUUGCAGUCGUUCCUCGUGAUGAGCAAGGCUUGUGUGGGAGAGGCUGAUGGAGUGGUGGUGGUGAUGUCUCCCUGGCUGACAGAUGGUGGGGAUUUCACAGCCUGUGACUGAAGUUUCGGGAAAAGUGGUUAAUACUUCAGGGGAAGGGGCAAAGUGCAAAUGGCUUGGAAGUGACAUAUCAGUCAGGUCCAGCAGUUUGCUGGGAGUCCUGAGGGGAUUUUUGGGUGUAAGCUCCAUGUGUGAUCUCAAGGGUGUUCCUGUGACAUCCUGAUCUUCUCUGGGCACGUACAAAAGACAAAACAACUGGAGAUUGAUUUAAAUAAGUGCUUGGAGAGCCAGGGUGUGAGACAGUGGGCUCAGAGCAUCGCACUCCCUGUCCCAGCACCUGAGCCUGAUGGAGUGCAACAGCUCUCUGAUGGGAGAGAGGAACUCGGUCUUCCAAGCCAGUGGACUGUAAAGAUUAUUGAAAAAAUUGAAUAUAUUUCUUUCAUGCGGAAAUAGUGCUUUAGUCCCUGUACACAGAGAUUUAUCAAAGGGACCUCUGUGCUCCAGAAGCGGGGCUGAGAUCACAGUUCGCUGCAGAUGUGAGUUGAACUGACUGAGUCCCACUUUCAGCAGAUCUGAGUAACCAUUGUACAGUGUCGGUCUGUCUUGAACCCCACACAUCAGUUCUGCUCCCAGGCUGCCUUUGCAGGAGCUAGAUUUUCACAGCAAAUUAGAUUUUCUUUAAAAAUGAAUUUUCUGCUCAUGGAAAUCCGAAAUCCCAUGGCGAAGCUGGCUGUGCAGGGCUCUGCACUGGGCACACCAGUGUGGGAUGCUGGAGAGAAAACAGUCCACCAGUUCCCUGGAGAGGCUGCUCCAGUGGCCAGGGGGCUGUUAGAGAUGGAUCCACCAGCAUGUAGGUUUGGUUCUAUCUCUUUUUUUCAGGCAGGGGUGUUUCAUCCCAUUAUAUUAGAAAAGAGGGCUUUAAGCAUUUUCAGCUGAUGCAACAAUUUGAGGUGUUGUGACAUUUUUUUUUUUUUUUUUUUUUUUUAGCCCUAGAUGACAGCUCCAGUGUGAGAAUAUGAAUUUUUGGGACUGAGUGCUCAAGGGGAUUAGACUUUAAUGAUGUCUUAGAUCAUGCACAGAGAUUUAUUACUCACUAGGUGAGUCUGUAGCAGGACCUUGAAUUGAAUGUAUUGACCUGGUGGCAGAAAAAAAAAACAUUGACCUUGAUGGUGUGUUUGAGGUACAGAAGUACUGAAGGCAGUUGGGUCUGGGUCAUUAGCCCAUAUUUGAUCUAAAUUUUAAAUUUUAUUUAAAAACAUGCAUGCAUAGAAAAACGUGGAGUCGGGAAGCAGAUAAACCUUUGGUUUAAGUCCAGGCUGUGGGGAGCCCCGUGAAGGACUCUUGCCUUGGGGCCUCACUUGACUCUGGGUGUUUGCUCAGCCCUGUUUCCUCCGUCAGCCAAGUCUCAGUGGGAGCCCUGCCGCCCGCCCUCCCCCUCCCCUCUUUAUUUCAUAAUAUUGUUCUAAUUACUGGAGUGUGAAGAAUCGACUCCUAAAAUGCCUCUUGGCGAAUUCCAUUUGUGCACUGGUGAAGUUUCCCCUGGCUGCUGUCUCGCCAUCAGCGCCGGCCACGCUCAGCCCGUCCCCGGAUCACAACUUCUCCUCCUGUCCCGGGCAAACUGGGACAUGGUGGUUAUUCCAUUGGCUGGAGAUCCCAAAUGCCAGCAGGAGAUGGGAAAGGGAAGACAGUGAGGGAUUUGAGGGAGGAUAAAGGGUUAACUCUCGCUUGCUGGGGUCCUGCUGGUCUGUGUUUUCAGUGCUGUUUUUCCUGAUGAGCUGCCAGAUGCAAUUUUUGGGGGGUAAACUGGGACAGGCAGGGAUGGCCGUGGGUGCAAGGCUCGGAGGAGCAGCUCAGCUGGUAGCUCAGGGAAGGGCUUGUAGGAGGAUUGUGGGACUGAGGAUUCUGGGGAGGUCAAGCCCUGAAUCCUGUAUGGAACAGGGAUGUCUGUGGUGGUUCUUUGUCUGUAUGUGGUCACAUCCUUUGCUUUCUCACGAGAGCUGUCCCUUGAGGAAGGGACUUCCUGGCUCUGCAUGGCUGUUCUCCUGCCUGGCUGGGUGCAUGGGCUUGCAGCAAGACUCCUGUGCAGUCAUCUGUUGAGGCUGCAGAGAAUUCAGGGUGUAUGGCUUAGGUGCUUUCAAAGUGAGUUAUUUGUUUUAAAAACAGCACUAUAUAGGGUUGUUUCUAGAGGCCUUUUUUUAAGCGAGUAGGGAGCACUUGUGUAAUGCUUCGGGCUUUUUCUGCAGUUGCAAGGGACUGAAAACUUGAAAAAUAGAGCUGAAAACUCGGUUAGCAAGUAAUUGCAAGGUUUGCAGGACUGAGGCUUUAAGAAAAGUGCCAGAGAGGAGGUUUUAUUCAUAAUGCUGGAGUUUUGGAACAUCCCCUGAUUCCAAAGCCCUUGUGGUGGGUCUGCUAAGCAGACUUGUGCUGGGAAAUUACAGGUUGCUCCUGUCUGGGUUUCCCUCGUCCCCCUGUUUGCAGGCUGGGAGCUGGAGAGGGGAGCAGGGAUGGGAUGGAGAGAGGUGGUUUUCCCUGGGAUUGUGCAUAGGAUGUUCUGCAGGGAAGGACCUGGGGACUAGGCUGGCCUGAGGCACUGGUGGUUUUGGCUAUUAUGAAGUCUCCUCCUUUAUGAUAAAAUCCCCCAGGAAUCCUCCCUGCAGGAUAGACUGUGGGCUGCAGAGACAUUUGGCUGGAUCCCAGCUGGCCUUGCUGGAUCAGUUCUGAUAGGGAACCAAAAUUCAGCCCCAUGACUGCCCUGCUGGCUGCCCCUGCUGGGACAGGGGCUGAUGGCCAGGCUGGGCAGGGGAGGGGACAGUUGUGGUGUGAUAACAGCCAUGCCCUCUGGGGCUGUGGGCACCUCUCCCACCUCCACAGCUGGUUUUGACACAUAAAGAAGUUUAACUGCCCCUUGCAGCAGUGCUUUGAACAUCCCCUGCCUUCUUCCUUUAGUGGUGGGCUUGGCAGUGUUAGAUUAAUGGUUGGUCUCGAUGAUCUUAGGGGUCUUUUCCAACCUAAAUGAUUCUAUGGAUCUGUGAUUUUAAUGUACCUCUUCUUGCUCAAUGGCUCACAGAAGAGCAGUUAUCCUUCAGAGGAGCAAUAGAGCCUGAACCUUCACCACCUUCUUGCACUGCUUUGGCAGCUCAUCAGUUUUAACCUUGAGAGGAGAAGAAUUUGAAAAGCAGGGAAAUGUUAAGAGCACAUGCCCUGGAUUAGGUGAAGGAGAGACUGGGCACACAGCAGGGAGGGAUGAUGGUCAGUGGUCAGGAAUGCUCAGCUUUGGGCUUUGUGUUUACACAGUGAGAGGGACCUUCAAAAAGCAGGGAAAGGGCAGUACUGAAAGCUUUGGGAGCAACUAAGACAGGAUGCUGCCACUUGGGGUGGCAGGUGAUGUUGCUGGAGAGAGCAAAACUUGGCUUUCAAAAAGCUGUGCCAGGAGCUGUUGGCUUCUGUGAAGUCGCAUCAUGAGCUGCAGCACGCACUGCUGUUUGCACCCCGGGUUACAAGAGUGUAAAGCACCCCAAAAACAUUUAACUUCAGGCACUCUACUCUUCCCAGAUGCUCUCCCAGCUCUGUCUUGCCACAGAAAGGCUUGUAAAGAGGUCCAUUAAAUCCCUAUUCUCCUCUGAAACAUAAAUGAGUAAAUGCUGUAACCAGGGCACACUUAAGGGAAAAUGAAGCAUGACUAUAAAUAUGAGUGACCCAACUAAAAGAAAGGUCAGAUAAGAGACAUUACCCAGUCGUGUUCAUUAAGGAUAUUGGGGUAAUUUAGCAUCCUGCAUUACCCACGUGUUUAGGAAACCAGUUAGAGGACCCAGGGAGAGGGAGAUAAGAGAUGCAAGAUAUGUAGAGGGGGGCUUUCCUCCCCUUGUGUUUUUGUUCUGGGCAAUGCAGUGGGUGAAGUGAAAGAGGGACUUUGGUACUGAUGAUUAUCUGUGGCGUGCUUGGAAUUUUUUUUAGAAAAAAAUGUUCCCUGUUUUGAUGGGGAAAGGAAGGAGCUGAAUGAUGGCUCUUUGCAGCAUGCCCCUUAUAGUGCUUCUGUUUGGGGAAGGCAGGGCUGUUUGCUUUCCUGCUCCUUGGUAUGUGCUGAGCAAACCUGUGCUGAAACGUUUGCACAGUGCUCAAGGAUUUUUUUCAAGUUUGGAUCCUGAAAUCUGGAGCUGGGGGGGCCGAGGCUGGGGGCAGAAACUGCCACCCCAUCACUGGCAGGAAGGAAAAUACCCAGAGUUACUUCACAAAGCAGAAAUGUCUUGGAGACAAGCUCCUAUCUCAGUAAGGCAGCUCCUGCUCCGUGGGGCUGGGAAGGAGUUUCCCGUGGGGGUGUUGGAUGUAGUGGUGUCUCUCAGAGCUUUGCUGCCACCAGCCCCAGCGUGUUUCUGCCUGUUGAUGUGUCUCUGCUCCUGCCCGUUUCCCUGCCUAAAGCUCUCCAGGUAUUCAUGCCAAGUGUGGUAAUGCAUCCAAGUGAUGUCAGGAAGAAAUGGCAGCAUAGAGAAAUUCCUCUUUAUGGCAGCAAUGAAGUGAAUGGGGAUUUAUCUUGGAGAUUAGCUGGGCUAAAGUUUGUCACUUUGCUUUUCCUGCCAUGAGAUUCAGUUCUCUGAGCUCAGAGGUUGCUCUUCAGGUCUGCACCAUCUGCAGAAGGUGCAAUAAUAAAACCAUUUAAAUCCCCUUUUGUAUUUUGGAGGGACUGUGGUAAUUCCCCUGGUGAUGAGAUUUAUUUUCCUCCGUUAAUACCUGGUUUUGAACAGUUUCUUUUCUUCCUCUUGUUGCUCAGGGCUGUGUUUUCAGAAAAGCUUCUUCUCGAGGAGACUUAGUGUGUGCACACACCACGUGAAGUCAACAAGGGCUCAACUUCAAAGUGAAGCAUGUGAAUAAAUAUUAUCCUGACUUGAG